rnacentral:rRNA from 1 species
UACAGAGGUCUCAAGCGUUGUUCGGAUUCAUUGGGCGUAAAGGGCGCGUAGGCGGCGCCGUAAGUCGGGUGUGAAAUUUCGGAGCUUAACUCCGAAACUGCAUUCGAUACUGCGGUGCUUGAGGACUGGAGAGGAGACUGGAAUUCCUGGUGUAGCGGUGAAAUGCGUAGAGAUCAGGAGGAAGACCAGUGGCGAAGGCGGGUCUCUGGACAGUUCCUGACGCUGAGGCGCGAAAGCCAGGGGAGCAAACAGG